CCGGAAGGUGCGGUGCGGUGGAUCACCUCC
rnacentral:rRNA from 1 species